rnacentral:tRNA from 1 species
GGAGGGGACAGCUUGCUGUCAGAGCGCCUGCUUAGCACGCACAAGGCCCUGGGUUCGAUCCCCAGUACCUCCA